rnacentral:rRNA from 1 species
ACUAGAGGUCGAUUUGGAGGUUGUGCCCUUGAGGCGUGGCUUCCGGAGCUAACGCGUUAAAUCGACCGCCUGGGGAGUACGGCCGCAAGGUUAAAACUCAAAUGAAUUGACGGGGGCCCGCACAAGCGGUGGAGCAUGUGGUUUAAUUCGAUGCAACGCGAAGAACCUUACCUGGUCUUGACAUCCACAGAACUUUCCAGAGAUGGUUUGGUGCCUUCGGGAACUGUGAGACAGGUGCUGCAUGGCUGUCGUCAGCUCGUGUUGUGAAAUGUUGGGUUAAGUCCCGCAACGAGCGCAACCCUUAUCCUUUGUUGCCAGCGGUUAGGCCGGGAACUCAAAGGAGACUGCCAGUGAUAAACUGGAGGAAGGUGGGGAUGACGUCAAGUCAUCAUGGCCCUUACGACCAGGGCUACACACGUGCUACAAUGGCAUAUACAAAGAGAAGCGACCUCGCGAGAGCAAGCGGACCUCAUAAAGUAUGUCGUAGUCCGGAUUGGAGUCUGCAACUCGACUCCAUGAAGUCGGAAUCGCUAGUAAUCGUAGAUCAGAAUGCUACGGUGAAUACGUUCCCGGGCCUUGUACACACCGCCCGUCACACCAUGGGAGUGGGUUGCAAAAGAAGUAGGUAGCUUAACCUUCGGGAGGGCGCUUACCACUUUGUGAUUCAUGACUGGGGUGAAGUCGU